rnacentral:lncRNA from 1 species
UGGUCUUCUACGAAACCCUUGCUGGUGGAUCAGAGGCUAACAUUCUCAAUGGAUAGGGUUUUCCUACCAAAGUAACUUCUAUGGUUUGGGCAGGGAGAAGAAUGAGCCAAGACUGAAGACAGGUUCAGGAUCAGAGCAAGAAUACAUUUGCCUUCUUCCUCCUCAGGGAAGGGGAAAAAAGAGAAAGGAGGAUAGUGCAAAUGGAGAAGAAGGCAAGAAGCCAUGGACGCACUCUGUGACUCGUUGUGUCUAUUUGGGAAAUGACCAUGGUCUGAACAGAAGCAUGAUGGAAAUGUUGACUCACGCAUCCACCAACAUCUGGCAAACAACCUGUAGAAAUGACAAAGGGAGAGUGAGAGGACAAUGAAAAUAGUCAUGGGAACAGAACCAAGGAGACAAAUACCCCAUAGGACCUGUGUAGCAGUGUAAGCUCACUGCUCCCUCUGGGAUUGUUUCCUGGUAUCUGGAAGGAAGUUCAAGAGAGAUGGAGUCAGCCAUGAAAGUGACCGGGGUCAGGCCAGGGACAGGGGCCGGGAAGCAGCAAGCUUGGCAGGCUUUUUCUUUAAUUUUAUGAUCUCAUGAAAUGCAAACUCAUCUGCAAGGAAGUACAGUCUUGAGUUGUUAAUUAAACACCGAUUCAGUAAAUGAAAGGACAAAGCCUGAA